rnacentral:rRNA from 1 species
AUCUUUUAGAUGACGAAGUGGUUGAUGCCAUGCUUCCAAGAAAAGCUUCUAAGCUUCAGGUAACCAGGAACCGUACCCCAAACCGACACAGGUGGUUGGGUAGAGAAUACCAAGGCGCUUGAGAGAACUCGGGUGAAGGAACUAGGCAAAAUGGCACCGUAACUUCGGGAGAAGGUGCGCCGGUGAGGGUGAAGGACUUGCUCCGUAAGCUCAUGCCGGUCGAAGAUACCAGGCCGCUGCGACUGUUUAUUAAAAACACAGCACUCUGCAAACACGAAAGUGGACGUAUAGGGUGUGACGCCUGCCCGGUGCCGGAAGGUUAAUUGAUGGGGUUAGCUAACGCGAAGCUCUUGAUCGAAGCCCCGGUAAACGGCGGCCGUAACUAUAACGGUCCUAAGGUAGCGAAAUUCCUUGUCGGGUAAGUUCCGACCUGCACGAAUGGCGUAACGAUGGCGGCGCUGUCUCCACCCGAGACUCAGUGAAAUUGAAAUCGCUGUGAAGAUGCAGUGUAUCCGCGGCUAGACGGAAAGACCCCGUGAACCUUUACUAUAGCUUUGCACUGGACUUUGAAUUUGCUUGUGUAGGAUAGGUGGGAGGCUUUGAAGCGUGGACGCCAGUCUGCGUGGAGCCAACCUUGAAAUACCACCCUGGCAACUUUGAGGUUCUAACUCAGGUCCGUUAUCCGGAUCGAGGACAGUGUAUGGUGGGUAGUUUGACUGGGGCGGUCUCCUCCUAAAGAGUAACGGAGGAGUACGAAGGUGCGCUCAGACCGGUCGGAAAUCGGUCGUAGAGUAUAAAGGCAAAAGCGCGCUUGACUGCGAGACAGACACGUCGAGCAGGUACGAAAGUAGGUCUUAGUGAUCCGGUGGUUCUGUAUGGAAGGGCCAUCGCUCAACGGAUAAAAGGUACUCCGGGGAUAACAGGCUGAUACCGCCCAAGAGUUCAUAUCGACGGCGGUGUUUGGCACCUCGAUGUCGGCUCAUCACAUCCUGGGGCUGAAGCCGGUCCCAAGGGUAUGGCUGUUCGCCAUUUAAAGUGGUACGCGAGCUGGGUUUAGAACGUCGUGAGACAGUUCGGUCCCUAUCUGCCGUGGACGUUUGAGAUUUGAGAGGGGCUGCUCCUAGUACGAGAGGACCGGAGUGGACGAACCUCUGGUGUUCCGGUUGUCACGCCAGUGGCAUUGCCGGGUAGCUAUGUUCGGAAUAGAUAACCGCUGAAAGCAUCUAAGCGGGAAACUAGCCUCAAGAUGAGAUCUCACUGGGACCUUGAGUCCCCUGAAGGGCCGUCGAAGACUACGACGUUGAUAGGUUGGGUGUGUAAGCGCUGUGAGGCGUUGAGCUAACCAAUACUAAUUGCCCGUGAGGCUUGACCAU